GUGGGGAAUAUUGCACAAUGGGCGGAAGCCUGAUGCAGCGACGCCGCGUGAGGGAUGAAGGCCUUCGGGUUGUAAACCUCUUUCAGCAGGGACGAAGCGUAAGUGACGGUACCUGCAGAAGAAGCACCGGCCAACUACGUGCCAGCAGCCGCGGUAAGACGUAGGGUGCGAGCGUUGUCCGGAAUUAUUGGGCGUAAAGAGCUUGUAGGCGGCUUGUUGCGUCGGCUGUGAAAACCCGCGGCUCAACCGCGGGCUUGCAGCCGAUACGGGCAGGCUAGAGUUCGGUAGGGGAGACUGGAAUUCCUGGUGUAGCGGUGAAAUGCGCAGAUAUCAGGAGGAACACCGGUGGCGAAGGCGGGUCUCUGGGCCGAUACUGACGCUGAGAAGCGAAAGCGUGGGGAGCGAACAGGAUUAGAUACCCCUGUAGUCC
rnacentral:rRNA from 1 species